ensembl:lncRNA
GUUUAACCAAUAAUGUCUUGCUUGUAUUUUAUUUAAUACAAUCAUUCACAAUCCAUCUAUUAGAAAAGAUAGAACAUAACUGUGGAAAUAAACCAAUUUAUCCUGGAAGAAAAGAGCACCUUUGUUCUGUGGCGAUGCCUACGUUGGAUUUUUCCCAUCUGGGAAAACUUAACCCCAGAAUCCUUUCUUCAAAUGCAACGCCAUUUGAAACUGCACAAGCAACCCCAAUGUUCUUGUAAUGGCACUGAGAAAUUUCCAUUUAGAUACUUUAUAAAUACCACCACAAGACAGCUCAUUCUGACCCCCAAGUUAAAUAUAUUGGAAGUUUCAGCUGCCACAGGACACUCACAUGCUCUCAUAAGAGAGCAGAAAUGCUUUGAAGGCAAGUUUUUUGCUGCCUGCAAGUCAGGGGAGAUGGCAAGCAGAGAGAUAAAAUUCAUUGCUAUCUUUGUAGUGUUAUUAGGAAUCCAUAAGCAUCAGGUUCAAAAUUCCUCAGAUAAAAAUGCCUGGAAAAACAUACAAGACUUCAUCAAUUUGCAAUAAUUGGUAAUCUACAGAGAAAAUUAAAGUUACUUCAUCCUUGAGAAAAAACAUUUAUUUAAUUUAUAUCUCCACAAAGAAAUUGACUUUACAGAAUAGGGGCAGCUCCUGCUUGGGAUGGAUGGAAAAAUGGGAGAAUAACCACAGCAAUGACUGCAAUCCUACAGCAAUGGCAGCCUCCCUAUAGCUAUCUAUUGGUAGUAUUUUAUAAAGAAAGAAGUUCUUACAUGCCAGUUACAGGCCACAGAGAAACACACAAAAUAUUUGACAUUGAUGGUGUGGAAGAUGCUGUCUCAGUUCUUGAAAGCCUACGGCUAAACCACACUUGAUGAAAACCAUUAGUUUGGCUUUUCACAAAACAAAAUUUAUUAAAACCAGAUUUAAAAGUGCCCCAAUUCUGUAAAAUAUUAACUAAAAGAUGAAAUCUAUCUAAAGAAAACCUGACAUUGCUGCCUCCUGAUAGUGCUACAUGCAUGUUAUGGCCUUCUGUUCAGUAGGAGCAGGAAGCAAUGGUUUUUAUCUGUGUGAAUUGAAAUGAGCUGAAAUGGACUGCCAUGACAGAGAAAAAUUGUUGGAAUGUCUCAUGGAAAGACAGUUUUCUGAAGACCCUUCUUUGAGAGGAAUCUGAGUAAAUAUUUCUUUUUAUGCAAAACAGAUCUACAUUCUCCUUCUUUUACAGACACAAGGGCUGCUCCGAAAGCCAUGUUUCCCAUUUUAUUACGUUGGCUCACAAAAACUCCAUGAGGAGCAAUCUCCAAGAAGAGAU